UACGUAGGGUGCAAGCGUUAAUCGGAAUUACUGGGCGUAAAGCGUGCGCAGGCGGUUUUGUAAGUCUGUCGUGAAAGCCCGGGCUCAACCUGGGAAUUGCGAUGGAGACUGCAAGGCUUGAAUCUGGCAGAGGGGGGUAGAAUUCCACGUGUAGCAGUGAAAUGCGUAGAGAUGUGGAGGAACACCGAUGGCGAAGGCAGCCCCCUGGGUCAAGAUUGACGCUCAUGCACGAAAGCGUGGGGAGCAAACAGG
rnacentral:rRNA from 1 species